rnacentral:rRNA from 1 species
UACGUAGGGGGCGAGCGUUGUCCGGAAUCAUUGGGCGUAAAGCGCGUGUAGGCGGCUCGGUAAGUCCGGUGUGAAACCUUGGGGCUCAACCCCAAGCCUGCACUGGAUACUGUCGAGCUCGAGUCCGGGAGGGGAGAGCGGAAUUCCUAGUGUAGCGGUGAAAUGCGCAGAUAUUAGGAAGAACACCAGUGGCGAAGGCGGCCCACUGGAUCGGUACUGACGCUGAGGUGCGAAAGCGUGGGGAGCAAACAGG